CCUGAUCUCUUGAUUUCACCUCAUAUCAUUAAUGAAAAUUUUGAUUUGUUGCUGAAAAUUUUAAUUCUUGAAAUGUUUGUUUUAAAUCUUCCUUUUUAAUGUUGUCCUGCUUGCUAAUUAUCUUUUGUUAGAAAGAAAAAGUCAUUAACAGAAAAUAAUAAAAGAUUUGUACAAUCAGAGGUUUAAAGGGUGAGAAAUCCUUAAACAUAAAGCCAAAAAUAUAUAAAACAACUGUACAAACCUGGCACACUGAAAUGCAAAGACAGAAUACAACCCCUGCAUGGCCAGUCCACAAAUUCUUGCCUCUUGGGCCAGGCCUUAGAGGCUAGCAGGUCCCCUAUGAGGAAAUCUGGCAUUCAGGUUCCCCUCUAGCCAAGGAUCUGCUGCAUGCUUUUUGUUCCUACCCAACCACCCAACGAUUGCUCCACUUCUAGCAAUGUAAUCUGUAAUCUCCUGCAUAUUUUACCCAUAACACCAAGAACCUAAUUCUGUCUCUGUAAGGGAAUAAUGACUGCGUCUGGUCUCUGUAAGGGAAUAAUGACUGCGUCUGCCUUAUCCCGCUGCACAUAACAAUCCCUUAGCCCAUUGUGUCCCUGGCCAUUCUUAAUGCCCCUAAAAGCUUGUGUUUCAGGCAAAACCUUUCCCUGUUGGUUUUGUCAGGUAAAUAGAAUGUCCCUGUUACUCUCUCAGUCCUGCCACUAUCAACUCUACCAAUGGUCCUGGAUUGUCCAGAUUAACAUUCAUACUGCUAUAUCUGGCCUUGAAAGUGGUGCAUUGGAACAUUUUGCUGCUGAUCUAAGGCCUACUUUUGACAGUCUACUUUUAACAUAUUUCAUCUGAAGUCCUAAUGUUCGGAAUGGUAGAGCAUUUCCAUUAACUAUCUUAUGCUUGAUUUUUUUCAGCUUUUGGCUUAUGUUGCAUCGCUGUGGAUAGAAGUAUAGAACCUAAGAUGCUAAUCUUACACAAAUUCAGAUAAUUUGAUUUUAUUCAAUGCCAUCAUUUAUUGCACACUCAAAUUUGCAAAAUGGGUAUCAAUAAACAGUAAUAGAGCCUUAUGAAUUGCAUAUGACUAAUGCUAUUCUCUCUGAAAGGUUAUCCAAAGUGUGUAGAAUGCUUUAAAGGGUAAUACUUAAUGUUUUAAAAACCGGACCGGACCGGCCGGUCUGACCGGUCCAACCGUCGACCGGCCAUCAUUCCGGUUCGGUCCGGUCAUUUGGACCGGAUUGAGAUCGAACCGGAGUUGAACCGCUCAAACCGGCGGUUCAACCGGUGAACCGGACGAACCGGCCGGUUCCAAGGGAACCGGCUGAUUCAAAUAAUUUUAAUUUUUUGAAAAAAAAAUUACAAAAUAAAACUAUUACCCUCUCAUUGCAUGAAAGGAAGGAUUCCAUGUUGGGCCUGUCUUAUGACACAGCCCACAUGCCCACUCCAAUUAUUGUGGGCUUUUUUUUGAGCCCACAAGACCAUGCCAAGCCUUAGCUGAGGAUGGCUUUUAUAGGAGUCAUUUGACCCCUUGUUUCUCUCAUUUUCCGAUGUGGGAUUGCUUUAAUCAAUGAAAAAAAACAUAACAAAACUCCACAAGAGGAUUUGAACCUUGGACCAAUCCUUAACUAUAAUCCACCUAAGACACCACUCGGCUACAUGUGUUUUAUUAUCUCAUAUGCCAAACAAAACAAUAUAUAUUAGAUUUUAAAUUUUUUUAUAAUAUUAAAUAAAAAUAAUAUAAUAUUUUUAAAAAUUAUGAAAUUAGUUUAAAUUUUCAUUUUUUAUAUAUUCACAUUUAAAUAUUAUACAUAUUUCAUUUAAUAAAAUUUAAAAUAUUAAUAUGAUUUAAUUUGAUAAUAUCAAAGAUAUAAAAUAAUAUUAUUGAUGUUUAAUUUAUUCAUAUAUAUUUUAAAAUUUUUAUAAUUAUUUUUA
rnacentral:lncRNA from 1 species